GUUCUGCCGGCGCCGGGAAGCGGGGAAGGGAGUUCUGUUCUUCUCCUGUCACUGUGCUCCAGCCUCCAGUGGUCGCCGGACGUCGGUGCUCCGGCCUGCUGCUGCGUCGCCAGUUCAGUUCUACAGCAGAAAUAAGCCGGGCCCCUGGAAUGUCAGGGCCGGCCUUGGGUUCCGGUGGUUGGGUGUGGAAACGAGGGCAACGGCCGUGGCUUGCUGCAGCCGCCGGAGGACAGAGGGAGACGGCGGUGGUUUGCUACCGUCGGAGUCGUUGAGAGAUGAGGAUGAUGGGCAAUGGCGGCGGCCUUCUCGCUGUCAUUCGUCGGGGACUUCAGGGGGGCAGCGGCACCACUUGGGUGAGGGCGGUCGACGGCCAUUCAUUGAAGGAGGAUCGUGGCGGCCGAAGUUCAGUGAGGGAAAAUGUGGAGCGGCCGGAUUCCGUGAGAGAGAGUGGGAGAGGCGCAGCUGUGAGAGGGAGGAGAGAAAGGGAGCAAUAAGGGGCUAGGUUUGGGCUUAGUUAUGGGUCAGUUUUUAAAAGAAACUAGUAUUCCACCCGUGUAAAUUGUUGUAGUCUUUUUUGUAUAACGUUUCCUUCCGUCCGCCAAGAAUAUGUAAAAUUGCUUGGGCACAAGAUUUAAUAAAAUUGGUGAUAUUUUGAUGUA